rnacentral:lncRNA from 1 species
GUCUUACUGUGUUGUCCAGGCUGACUUGAACCCCUGGGCUCAAGGGAUCCUCCUGCCUCCAGAGUUGCUUUACCUUGAAUCAAUAACAACGGUUUAUGUGAAAACAAGUUAUUAAGCAUUAUAGUAUAUUUAAAGGAUAUUAGGAGUGAGAAUGAGGAGGAUGAGGAGACCAGGGGAGGAGAGAGCAGGCGUCACCUGCUGGUGUUGUCCCUUUGUGAAGACACAUGAUUUCGGAGUCCCUACUUUCCACAUCUGUAACACAAGCAGCGAGGUUGUGUUGUCUUCACUUCCCACAAAAUUCUACCCAGAAGCCCAGAUAACGCAACAGAGAGC